CCGCCGGCGACCGGCGCACGGGUGAGUAACACGUAUGCAACCUGGCCGUGACAGAUGGAUAACCGGGAGAAAUCCCGCCUAAUACAACAUAAUGCCGGGAGGGGACAUCCCCUGCCGGUCAAAGGGGGCGACCCCGGUCACGGAUGGGCAUGCGGCGCAUUAGGUAGUUGGUGGGGCAACGGCCCACCAAGCCGACGAUGCGUAGGGGUUCUGAGAGGAAGGUCCCCCACAUUGGAACUGAGGCACGGUCCAAACUCCUACGGAAGGCAGCAG
rnacentral:rRNA from 1 species